rnacentral:rRNA from 1 species
GAUGAACGCUAGCGGCAGGCCUAAUACAUGCAAGUCGGACGGUGUCUUCGGACAUAGUGGCGCACGGGUGCGUAACACGUAUGCAACCUACCUUACAUUGGGGGAUAGCCUUUCGAAAGGGAGAUUAAUACCGCAUAAGACAGUAGCUGGGCAUCCAGCAGCUGUUAAAGAUUUAUCGAUGUAAGCUGGGCAUGCGUCCAAUUAGCUAGUUGGUGAGGUAACGGCCCACCAAGGCAAUGAUUGGUAGGGGAACUGAGAGGUCAAUCCCCCACACUGGCACUGGGAUACGGGCCAGACUCCUACGGGAGGCAGCAGUAGGGAAUAUUGGGCAAUGGACGCAAGUCUGACCCAGCCAUGCCGCGUGCAGGAUGAAGGCGUUAUGCGUUGUAAACUGCUUUUAUACAGGAAGAAACGACUCUUGCGAGAGGCAUUGACGGUACUGUAUGAAUAAGCACCGGCUAACUCCGUGCCAGCCGCCGCCGUAAGAC